rnacentral:rRNA from 1 species
GCGUAGAUAUCAGAAGGAAUACCAAUGGCUCAGGCAGCUCUCUGGCUCGUCACUGACGCUGAGGUGCGAAAGCGUGGGUAGCAAACAGGAUUAGAUACCCUGGUAGUCCACGCCGUAAACGAUGAGAACUAGCCGUUGGGCAGAUUUAACUGUUCAGUGGCACAGCUAACGCAUUAAGUUCUCCGCCUGGGGAGUACGGCCGCAAGGCUAAAACUCAAAUGAAUUGACGGGGGCCCGCACAAGUGGUGGAGCAUGUGGUUUAAUUCGAUGCAACGCGAAGAACCUUACCAACCCUUGAAAUCUAGCGAAGUUCACAGAGAUGAGAAUGUGCCUUCGGGAACGCUAUGACAGGUGUUGCAUGGCUGUCGUCAGCUCGUGUCGUGAGAUGUAUGGUUAAGUCCAGUAACGAGCGCAACCCCUAUCCUUAUUUGCCAGCGCGUUAAGGCGGGAACUAUAGGGAGACUGCCGGGUGAAACCCGGAGGAAGGCGGGGACGAGGUCAAGUCAUCAUGGCCCUUAUGGGUUGGGCUACACACGUGCUACAAUGGGAAGUACAGAGGGAUGCGAAAGCGCGAGCUGGAGCCAAACCCUUAAAACUUUUCUUAGUCCGGAUUGGAGUCUGCAACUCGACUCCAUGAAGUCGGAAUCACUAGUAAUCGCGAAUCAGAAUGUCGCGGUGAAUACGUUCUCGGGCCUUGUAGA